rnacentral:rRNA from 1 species
CAUGCAAGUCGUACGGAAAAGAAAUUUUUAGUGGCGAACGGGUGCGUAACACGUGAGAAUCUGCCUUUAGGAAGGGGAUAACAUUUAGAAACAUUUGCUAAUACCCUAUAUGCUUUACGGUGAAAGAAUUUAUUCGCCUAAAGAGGAGCUCGCGUCUGAUUAGCUAGUUGGUAGGGUAAAGGCCUACCAAGGCGACGAUCAGUAGUUGGUCUGAGAGGAUGGCCAGCCACAUUGGAACUGAGACACGGUCCAGACUCUUACGGGAGGCAGCAGUGAGGAAUUUUCUGCAAUGGGCGCAAGCCUGACAGGGCAAUACCGCGUGAGGGAUGACUGCCUACGGGUUGUAAACCUCUUUUCUCAAGGAGGAAGAUCUGACGUUACUUGAGGAAUAAGCAUCGGCUAACCCUGUGCCAGCAGCCGCGGUAAUACAGGGGAUGCAAGUGUUAUCCGGAAUUAUUGGGCGUAAAGCGUCUGCAGGUUGAUCUAUAAGUCUUUUGUCAAAUCUUUGGGCUUAACCCAAAAACAGCAAAAGAAACUAUUUAUCUUGAGUAUGGUAGAGGUAAGGGGAAUUUCGAGUGGAGCGGUGAAAUGCGUAGAUAU